UCCAUGAUAGUCCAGCAGCUAAGACUGCACUUCCAAUGCAGGGGGCCAGGGUUCAAUCCCUGGUCAGGGAA
rnacentral:tRNA from 1 species